AAGUUGUUUUAAAUUUUUAAAAAAAUAUAAGAUUCCUCUAAAUAGAAGAUUGUCUGUUGGUGGUGUUGUAAUGAAAUUAAGAAAUCACGUGUCAUCCAUAGUAACAGUGUAACACUGACGGAGAGAAAGCACAAUAACGAGUCACCGACAGUGGCGGCAAGGAAGCAAGAGGGCAAGUGAUAGUGAUAGAUAUGGUGGCAGCGAGGAAGGAUUCGAAUACCUAACUACUAAGCUUGGAAGAUGCUUAAGAACUUCUUAAUUUAUCCUUUUUUCCCUUCAAAUUUUACACUACAUAAAAUCCUUAAUGGUGAUACACUAAAUCACCAAAUAAUGACCGAUCAAAACAAUUACAUUUGUCACGAGACAGCAUUUUUCCAAGUUCGCACGAAAACCCUUUUCCACGGGUUUUGUUUCUCUCUCAUUGUUCAAAUCAACAUCCUCCAUUCCCUUUCUCUCUUCAUUCUUGUCGAUCUUGGUUUCUUCGCCGUUUUUUACCGUUUCAGAUCCAAGAUCCGUCCUUUUGGUAAUCUUAUCUUUUAAUAGAUUUCUACUGUUCAACUUCGUGUUCUCUCUACAAUAGUUCUUGAAACGUUGACGGAGAAGAGAUGAACGGAAUCGAAGUGAUACGGUGAUGGCUUGACCAAAGCUGUGUUACAGUGACACGAGUUUGCGAAGAAGAGUGAGGUCGUGGCUGUGAGUAGCGCUGUCGGCGGUUUGGAGCGAGGGAGAAUAAGUUUCACAAAUUGGGGAGAUACUGACGAGCGAGUUGUUAUGCAAGGCUGAACGGAGGGUGUUAUGGUGAACGAGUUGUUAUGCAAGGCUUAACGGAGGGUGUUAUGGUGAACGGCGUGAAGAUUGUGUGAAGAUGUUCAUGUUCAUUUUCUUCUUCCGGAUCCAGUUUUCCCUUUUCAUAUGAGAUCCAGUAAGCUGACGAUGGUGAAAAACCAAUAAUGAAGUAUGUGGAGAAUGCUGAGAAGGCAACAUAAGCAAUUGUUAGUGGGAAAUUUAAUCAGGUAAUUAAACAAUUAGUUAGGUUAUUUUAAGAUUCACUGUCUAAUGUUAACUUUUAGGCUAUGUUUGGAUAUCAUAAAAUCAACGGAGUGGAAUGGAGCGGAGUGGAGUGAGAUGGAGCGGAAUAGAACGAAGACACCAUUCUAUUGUUUGGAAAUUUUAAGUCGGAAUACUGUAAGUGGUUCAUUCUGCCCAAAUCGGAGGGAAAGAAAAAUGGUGGUAAGUGGUGAAGUGGAAUGAAAUCCAUACCACUCAUUCCGCUUGCUCCAUCCGUUUUUAAAUUAUCCAAACAAUGAAAAAUUAUUUUAUUCCAUCCCAUUGCACUACGCUCCAUCCAGUUCCAUCAAUCCAAACAAAGCCUUAGUUUCUAUUUUUUUUCCUUCUAGUGUGUAGAUUCGUGUCAACCUAACAAAUAGUGACAUGGUGAGACAUACCGGAGAUAUUGAAACAACCAUUGUGCCAUAUAAGGGAGUAUUAUUUAAGUUUUUUUCGUUUA